rnacentral:rRNA from 1 species
CCUACGGGAGGCAGCAGUGGGGGAUAUUGCACAAUGGGGGGAACCCUGAUGCAGCGACGCCGCGUGGGUGAAGAAGCGCCUCGGCGCGUAAAGCCCUGUCAGCAGGGAAGAAAAUGACGGUACCUGAAGAAGAAGCCCCGGCUAACUACGUGCCAGCAGCCGCGGUAAUACGUAGGGGGCAAGCGUUAUCCGGAUUUACUGGGUGGAAAGGGGGCGCUGACGGCGAUGCAAGCCAGGAGUGACAGCCCGGGGCCCAACCCCGGGACUGCCCUUGGAACUGCGUGGCUGGAGUGCAGGAGGGGCAGGCGGAAUUCCUGGUGUAGCGGUGAAAUGCGUAGAUAUCAGGAGGAACACCGGUGGCGAAGGCGGCCUGCUGGACUGCAACUGACGUUGAGGCCCGAAAGCGUGGGGAGCAAACAGGAUUGGAUACCCGAGUAGUC